rnacentral:rRNA from 1 species
AACGAACGCUGGCGGCGUGCUUAACACAUGCAAGUCGAACGCGAAAGGGACUUCGGUCCUGAGUAGAGUGGCGCACGGGUGAGUAACGCGUAAGUGAUCUACCCCUGUAUUUGGGAUAACUAUGGGAAACUGUAGCUAAUACCGGAUACGUUCAUGUAGUUGCGAUUAUGUGAAGAAAGAUGGCCUCUGAUUCAAGCUAUUGUACAGGGAGGAGCUUGCGUACCAUUAGCUAGUUGGUAGGGUAAUGGCCUACCAAGGCAACGAUGGUUAGCGGGUCUGAGAGGAUGAUCCGCCACACUGGAACUGAAACACGGACCAGACUCCUACGGGAGGCAGCAGUGAGGAAUAUUGCGCAAUGGGGGCAACCCUGACGCAGCGACGCCGCGUGGAUGAUGAAGGCCUUCGGGUCGUAAAAUCCUGUCAGAUGGAAAGAAGUGUGAUGUGGUUAAUACCCAUGUCAUUUGACGGUACCAUCAGAGGAAGCACCGGCUAACUCCGUGCCAGCAGCCGCCGCCG